rnacentral:lncRNA from 1 species
UCCAAAUUCUCACUUUUGGACUGUAUUUAUUCGCAAAUUAAACUGAUGCCCACCUGGUAUUAUAGAUGUAAAACAUCACCCUUCAAGUUGAGAGGGACAACACAUUGAUCAUGCCUUUACCAUGCCGGGUAGCCAAGUGACUUCUAUGCUAUCAGGGGGUGCAGUGAACAGCAGGAGAACAAGCAGCUGAUGGAUUGAGCCACAGGACCUGGCAGCUCCAGAAUGUGUGGAUUUUUGGAGCACACUUCUCUCUGUACCCACUUGGAUAAAUGUGAAUGAAAAACCAUCUAAUUUUCCAAUUGAUAAAGCAAAUACUCAUGGAAGGAUAUCCCAAGGGCAAGCACUGCCUUGUAACACAUAUGGUCCAGCAUCUGUGCAACUCAUCUUCCAACCUCCGGGUGAAUGUAGGAUGCAUUUCUCAGGGCAAAUGAGUGACUCCUCAGGAGACAAAACAGGCAGAACAUAAAAACUUCACUUGAUCUUAACCCCAGGCUGGGAAGCGAUUUCAUGGCAAUACCAGAAUUUGAGAUAACUCUCAGUCGUCAGCUCUUUGGUGACAAGAUAAAUGAGAGUCUGAUCAAGCAUGCUGACAACCGUAAACUGCACAUCAUCAUGGACUCUUCCUUUCUUGAUACCUCAGACUCUCUCAUCAUAAAUUUCUGCUUCUAUGUGUCUCCAAGUUCAGUUUUUCCCUGUCAAACUUAAACUCAGAUCUUCUUCUGGAGGCUUUCUAACUUUUUAUUUUUUAUUUUUACUUAGGACUGCUAUUGCUGUGAAGAGACAUCAUCAUCAUAGAAAUAGUAUAAUUUCAUUUAUUUAACUGGGGCUGGUUCAGAGGUUUAGUCUAUUAUCACUAUGUUGGGAAGAAUAGCACGAUGCUGGAGAAGGAGAUGAGAGUUCUAUAUCUGGAUCAGCAAACAGAAGGAAGAGAGAGAGCACAACUGGGCCUGGAUUGAGCAUUUGAAACCCCAAACCACCCCCAGCGACACACUUCCUCCAACAAGGCCAUACCUAAUCCAACAAGGCCAUGUAUCCUAAUCCUCUCAAAUAAUACCCCUCCCUAUGGCCUUUGGAGUAAAUUUUCAUUCAAACCACCAUACCAUUUGUCAGCUCAGCCUAUAAUACUAUGAACAUACUUUACAUAUUCACUAAAAUAUCAGGAAUUUGUUUGGCCAAUUCACAUUGGCUUUUCCCUGAAAUCUUUAUUCAUCACAUCCCAUUACCUUUAUCUAAGUCUCUUAUCAUCUCAUCUUAAAAUAUUAUAUAUUCAACAUGAGUAGAUGAAAUGGGAUGGAAAACAUGUUUCUGUCCAGGAUGAGAGAAUCUAGGCAGUUCUACAUUGGAGUUCACUGAAUCAAUGUUGGCUAUAUCAUGUAAUAAACAUGUACACUAGCCACA